UAGGGAAUCUUCGGCAAUGGGGGCAACCCUGACCGAGCAACGCCGCGUGAGUGAAGAAGGUUUUCGGAUCGUAAAGCUCUGUUGUAAGAGAAGAACGUGUGUGAGAGUGGAAAGUUCACACAGUGACGGUAACUUACCAGAAAGGGACGGCUAACUACGUGCCAGCAGCCGCGGUAAUACGUAGGUCCCGAGCGUUGUCCGGAUUUAUUGGGCGUAAAGCGAGCGCAGGCGGUUUAAUAAGUCUGAAGUUAAAGGCAUUGGCUUAACCAUUGUUCGCUUUGGAAACUGUUAAACUUGAGUGCAGAAGGGGAGAGUGGAAUUCCAUGUGUAGCGGUGAAAUGCGUAGAUAUAUGGAGGAACACCGGUGGCGAAAGCGGCUCUCUGGUCUGUAACUGACGCUGAGGCUCGAAAGCGUGGGGAGCAAACAGG
rnacentral:rRNA from 1 species